GAAACUGCGAAUGGCUCAUUAAAUCAGUUAUCGUUUAUCUGAUAGUACCUUACUACUUGGAUAACCGUGGUAAUUCUAGAGCUAAUACAUGCUAAAAACCCCGACUUCGGAAGGGGUGUAUUUAUUAGAUAAAAAACCAAUGCUCUUCGGGGCUCCUUGGUGAUUCAUAAUAACUUAACGAAUCGCAUGGCCUUGUGCCGGCGAUGGUUCAUUCAAAUUUCUGCCCUAUCAACUUUCGAUGGUAGGAUAGUGGCCUACCAUGGUUUCAACGGGUAACGGGGAAUUAGGGUUCUAUUCCGGAGAGGGAGCCUGAGAAACGGCUACCACAUCCAAGGAAGGCAGCAGGCGCGCAAAUUACCCAAUCCCGACACGGGGAGGUAGUGACAAUAAAUACUGAUACAGGGCUCUUUUGAGUCUUGUAAUUGGAAUGAGUACAAUUUAAAUCCCUUAACGAGGAACAAUUGGAGGGCAAGUCUGGUGCCAGCAGCCGCGGUAAUUCCAGCUCCAAUAGCGUAUAUUAAAGUUGUUGCAGUUAAAAAGCUCGUAGUUGAACCUUGGGCCUGGCUGGCCGGUCCGCCUCAC
rnacentral:rRNA from 1 species